rnacentral:rRNA from 1 species
AAAUUGAAGAGUUUGAUCAUGGCUCAGAUUGAACGCUGGCGGCAGGCCUAACACAUGCAAGUCGAGCGGCAGCGGAAAGUAGCUUGCUACUUUGCCGGCGAGCGGCGGACGGGUGAGUAAUGUCUGGGAAACUGCCUGAUGGAGGGGGAUAACUACUGGAAACGGUAGCUAAUACCGCAUAACGUCGCAAGACCAAAGAGGGGGACCUUCGGGCCUCUUGCCAUCAGAUGUGCCCAGAUGGGAUUAGCUAGUAGGUGGGGUAACGGCUCACCUAGGCGACGAUCCCUAGCUGGUCUGAGAGGAUGACCAGCCACACUGGAACUGAGACACGGUCCAGACUCCUACGGGAGGCAGCAGUGGGGAAUAUUGCACAAUGGGCGCAAGCCUGAUGCAGCCA